GCAAACUUGGUCAUUUAGAGGAAGUAAAAGUCGUAACAAGGUUUCCGUAGGUGAACCUGCGGAAGGAUCAUUAUUGAAUGAACAUGGUUGGGUUGUCGCUGGCUUUUCGAAGCAUGUGCACACCACACCAUAUUCAAAACCACCUGUGCACAUUGCGUAGAUUCUGUGAGUACUUGAGGAUAAAGGCUUGUCAUGAGCUGCUCUCGUAUUCGAGAUCUAUGUAUAUAUUAUAUAUACACCUAUGAAUGUAUCAGAACGUUGUUCACAGGCUUUUUUGCCUUUAACAUUUAAUACAACUUUCAACAACGGAUCUCUUGGCUCUCGCAUCGAUGAAGAACGCAGC
rnacentral:misc_RNA from 1 species